rnacentral:ncRNA from 1 species
CGACACUUUAAAAGCUUUAACGAGUAUCCAUUGGAGGGCAAGUCUGGUGCCAGCAGCCGCGGUAAUUCCAGCUCCAAAAGUAUAUAUUUAAGUUGUUGCGGUUAAAAAGCUCGUAGUUGGAUUUUGGGCGCAGGCGGCCGGUCCGUCGCAAGGCGUGUACUGGACGUCCUGGCCUUCCCUCCGGUUCUCCGCCGGUGCUCUUGACUGAGUGUCGGCGGCGGCCGGAACGUUUACUUUGAAAAAAUUAGAGUGUUCAAAGCAGGCUCUCGAGCCUGGAUAAUGGUGCAUGGAAUAAUGGAAUAGGACCUCGGUUCUAUUUUGUUGGUUUUCGGAGCGCGAGGUAAUGAUUAAGAGGGACAGACGGGGGCAUUCGUACUGUGCCGUUAGAGGUGAAAUUCUUGGAUCGGCGCAAGACGAACGACUGCGAAAGCAUUUGCCAAGAAUGUUUUCUUUAAUCAAGAGCGAAAGUCAGAGGUUCGAAGACGAUCAGAUACCGUCCUAGUUCUGACUAUAAACGAUGCCAACUAGCGAUCGGGGGGCGUUACAUUGACGACCCCGCCGGCAGCUUACGGGAAACCAAAGUCUUUGGGUUCCGGGGGAAGUAUGGUUGCAAAGCUGAAACUUAAAGGAAUUGACGGAAGGGCCCGACAGGGAGUGGAGCCUGCGGCUUAAUUUGACU